AUGCUCAUCUCUAAAAAAAAUCAUCAUCACUGCACCAGCCUCCCAAACAUGCCAUGUUCAUGCUCAUUUCACUUCAUGUCAUUAUGCAUUCAAAAGAAAGAAAAUCUAACAGAGCACAAUUCAAAGGCAGCAUACCGUUUGAAAUCAUUAUCAGUUUCCAUACCAGAGCCAGACAUCAUCAAUGUAGUGAAGAAAAUUGUUGCUCAUGGCUCCAGUGAAGAUGCUGCUACAAAGGAUAUGUUAAGGCCUGGCAGCUGUUAG